CUAAAAUAAAUAACGAUGUGAUUCGUUUCUGAGAACUAAACUAAAGCAGACGUUUAUUAAUCUAUUUUUCACUCUUCGAUUCCCUGCUCUAAUAGUAUAGAAAGCCGUGGUUUUAUCGUCAGUCGGUCCUAUGGUAGAACAUUUCAGUUGGCGACGAGUGUAAAAGGUUUUUAAAAAAGUGAACGCAAAAGAAUCGUGGGCGCAAUAAAUUUUGCUUACGGCAAUCGGUCUACUAUCGCCAUCUUUGACAUCGCUGGACAACCGCUUCGACGAGCGCCAUCAUCAAGCGAAACGAGAUACUACAAUAGGAAACUCCAUGAAACCGAUUUUGUAACGCGUGCAGCAUUUCGAGUCGGAAACCUCUGGAAAUUUCGAGUCGGAAUCCUCUGGAGACAGAAUCUCGUUCCAUCUGAGGUGAUAGUGGCUUUAGUAUCAUUCGAUCGGUGAAACCCGCUAUUGCGGUACACAACAACCGUUUACUGGAGUACCAGGUGAUUCCCACGGCGGUCGAUAUUAUCUAUCGGUCAAGCGGUUGCGGUUCAGGUAGAACAAAUCCUCGACGUCAACUGACGGCUUGCGUGGUUGCCCAGAGGCGAUAACCGCGAGUAGCGAGCCCUUAUCUUUAACCGGUGUCGGCAAAAGCCGAAGGACGAUUCUGGUGGAAAUUGGAAGCGUGCAAACCAUGGCGCACUGAGGACAGCUUCGCAUAGGUAGAGAUUCACACAACAAAGUAAACAUGCGUAUGAUUCGGCAACAGCCGACGACAAACCCUAGCCAACAGAUAUCUCAUGGAUCUCCGGAAGUGGCUAAAAGAAGUGGCAAGAAGCGCAAAGCAGAAGACGAGUCGAGUCAUGACACCCCAGAAGCUGCGGAAUUUGUACCUAGGCGUUCGAAAAGACAGAGAAAAGUUAAGAAAGAUAGUGAUUUUAUAUACCUAGAGUAGUUCACGUUUGUGAAUUCGAAGCAUAGAGUUUAGAUUUUGAACUCUAUUUCCGAUCGAUAUUAUGUCUUGUAUUUAGACAAUCUGAAACAUGAAUUAUAAUUUGAACUUUAUAUUAUAUAUUAUAUAUAUAUUAUAUUUGUAAAUUUGAACUUGUAAAGUAGGAAGGGCUGUGGUGUUUACAGUCAACGUGUAGCUCGAUGAAUUAAUAAUGAGCAUUCUGAAUAAGAGUGUACACGAAAAGCGAAUCCCGUUUAACGGAACACACAUACAGGGGAUCGCCGAACAAGCGAUCGUGCAGAUGAAGGUCUGAUGGAAAACUAAAAUAAAUAACGAUGUCAUUCGUUUCUGAGAA